GCUGGACGCGAUGACGCACGCAUGUAGUCCCAGCUACUCGGGAGGCUGAGACAGGAGGAUCACUUGAGUCUAGGAAUUCUGGGCUGUGGCGCAGUAUGCUGAUGGGGUGUCAGCACUAAGUCCCGCGUCAAUAUGGUGACCUCCCGGGGGCGGGGGCGGGGGAUGCACCGGGUUGCCUAAGGAGGGGUGAACCGACCCAGGUCAGAAACGGAGCAGGUCAAAACUCCCGUGCUGAUCAGUAGUGGGAUCUCUCCUAUGAAUAGCCACUGCACUCCAGCCUGGGCAACAUAGGGAGACCCCAUCUCUA
rfam:Otolemur garnettii contig175468, whole genome shotgun sequence.